rnacentral:rRNA from 1 species
UCAGGAUGAACGCUGGCGGCGUGCUUAACACAUGCAAGUCGAACGAUGAACCUCACUUGUGGGGGGAUUAGUGGCGAACGGGUGAGUAACACGUGAGUAACCUGCCCUUGACUCUGGGAUAAGCCUGGGAAACUGGGUCUAAUACCGGAUAUGACCUUCCAUCGCAUGGUGGUUGGUGGAAAGCUUUUGUGGUUUUGGAUGGACUCGCGGCCUAUCAGCUUGUUGGUGGGGUAAUGGCCUACCAAGGCGACGACGGGUAGCCGGCCUGAGAGGGUGACCGGCCACACUGGGACUGAGACACGGCCCAGACUCCUACGGGAGGCAGCAGUGGGGAAUAUUGCACAAUGGGCGCAAGCCUGAUGCAGCGACGCCGCGUGAGGGAUGACGGCCUUCGGGUUGUAAACCUCUUUCAGUAGGGAAGAAGCGAGAGUGACGGUACCUGCAG